ACUCGGUCUGCGUAAACCACUUCAAGCCACAGCAAAGGAGGCGAACUUCCAGCCUUGAGCCUGUAGAAGGUUCAUGAAUGGAAACCUGGAUGGGUGGGUUGUGGUCUUGGCUGGCUCCACUUCUGCCCACAGCCCAGGAAGGGGGCCCUGUGUCUCCUGCUCAGGCUUGCACAGGAUACAGGCAUAAAAAAGACAAGGAUGAAAUAAGUCCUGUGAUGGAGAGACAGGCAAAAUGCCACCUGACUUCAGAGGAGGAAGAAGUGUGCUGUGCCAGGAGGAACAGGAGAAAGCUUCAUGAAAGAGGUGAGCCUUACAAGCCAAAUAGGAUUUCAAAAGGGGAGGAUAAUGUUCCAAGGCAAGCAACCAGCAAAACACAAAGGAAUAAAAGUAAAAAUUGUAUCUGGGGAAUGAUGAGUGGUCCCAAAUUAAUGGAGGAGAAAGUUAAGCACCUGCGGGGUGUGUGUGGGGGGUGUGUGUGUGUGUGAGUGUGUUGGUGGGGGUGGAAAGUGGAAUUAGGAGUUUUUAGAUGGUUUGUUUUGCAAACUGGAGAUAACCCUUAAAGGUUUUGGAGACUUGCGGAUGGAGUGAGUGGUGAUACAACCCAACCUAUAUAUUCGUAAUUGAACCUGUAAGCCAUAAAAAGGACAAGCUGAGAAGGGAUGAUAUUAGAGGCAGGUGGACCAGAGGCUAUUUCAGUAACCCAGGUCAGAGAGGAGGACAGGCAAGGCAAAGGCAGUGUUCCUGGAGGGAGGGGAUGGGUGCUGGGGAAACUGCAGAGGUCAGGGGCAGCCAAUCAGGUGUGGUGGGAGGAAGGGAAGUGCCAUCAAGUAGUCUGCUCUCUUCAGGGUGCCUGAGAAGGUGACCAUGGGCAGGACAGAGACUGGGAACUCUGAGAGAGAAGUGGAUUUGGGGAAAGGGAAAAGAAAACACUAGUUCCAACUGGACACAUGGAGUUGGAGUUGGUGGUGGUGACUGUCAUGAAGGACUAUCCAGGGAAUAGUAAACAGAUAAAUGGAACAAAACAGAAGGAAGGCAGAACUCUGAGGAAUGCCCACAUCUAGGGGAGCCAGUGCAACAGACAACACAGAAUGGCAGGGUUAGUAGGAGACGGGCCAUGAGGAAAAGGGAGGAAAGUUCCAAGAAGAAAGGCUGGAAGGUAUUUCUGAUGCUUCAAGGAGACCCAAGAAGGGGAGAUCGUGAGGCAGUUGGGUUGGGCAAUAAAGGAGAAGCUGAGCAGGGUGUGGGAAGUAGAGGCAGAAAGAUUUCGCACCUGGCUUUAAAGAAUUUUCACCAUGAUGACUGCAUGGAAAAUUUUCUUUGGGUGAUGGGCCCUUGAUCAAUAUUUAAAAAGGAAUCAUAAGGAAGGAGAGAUUGAAAGGCACCCAAGAGGGGACUCUGAUGGAGCAGGAUCACGGGAGGGGCAGGAAGGGGUGGAGCAGGUGGGCUUGCAAAGCAGCAGGAAGAAGGUACGAUAGACCAGAGAACAGUUAAGGUAAACACAAGGGGAGCGAGGGGGCAGGCAGCCUCCUGGGGAAGGAAACAAUGAGAUCCUGUGCUGAGUGAGGGGUGGGGACAAAGGUGAUGGGAAGAGAGAAGUGGCUUGGAAAUUUGAGGCAGGGAGGACACGGAAUAGAAAGUCAGGCGGGAAUGAAUAAUAGGGCAUUGAGAAGCUGAAGAUGGAAGCCCGGCUCUGCAACAGCCUGGUCUGCACAGUCAUGACAUUUGCUCCAGCCUUUCUGGGCAGUCUGGAAGCAGAAACAGAAGCAAAGAAGCUAGUGGUGGGAAUGCUCCAGGUAUGGACAGCACUGCAGCCGCAGUGGACAGCCAGAGACACAGGACCUUAGAGGAUGAUCAGAGAGAAUUUUACAGCAGGAAGCCUUUUUGUUGAUAUGGGUGACCUUCACCUCCAAGACCGGUACAGCCUUGUCUUGGGUUAAAUGUGGAAACCAAAUUUGAAAAAGUUUUACAUAAAAAAUGUAUACCGGCCAGGAGCGGUGGCUCACACCUGUAAUCCCAGCACUUUGGGAGGCCAAGGCGGGUGGAUCACGAGGUCAGGAGAUCGAGACCAUCCUGGCUAACACGGUGAAACCCCGUCUCUACUAAAAAUACAAAAAAUUAACUAGGCAUGGUGGCGGGCGCCUGUAGUCCCAGCUACUCAGGAGGCUGAGGCAGAAGAAUGGCGUGAACCCAGGAGGCGGAGCUUGCAGUGAACCAAGAUUGUGCCACUGCACUCCAGCCUGGGCAACAGAGCAAGACUC